AACGCGAAGUACCUUACCAGGGCUUAAAUGUGGUUUGACAGCUUUAGAGAUAGAGUUUUCUUCGGACAGAUCACAAGGUGCUGCAUGGUUGUCGUCAGCUCGUGCCGUGAGGUGUCAGGUUAAGUCCUAUAACGAGCGCAACCCCUGUUGUUAGUUGCCAGCGAGUCAAGUCGGGAACUCUAACAAGACUGCCGGUGCAAACCGUGAGGAAGGUGGGGAUGACGUCAAAUCAUCACGGCCCUUACGUCCUGGGCCACACACGUGCUACAAUGGCAGGUACAAUGGGCAGCCACUGCGUAAGCAGGAGCGAAUCCACAAAACCUGUCUCAGUUCGGAUCGGGGUCUGCAACUCGACCCCGUGAAGCUGGAAUCGCUAGUAAUCGGAUAUCAGCCAUGAUCCGGUGAAUACGUUCCCGGGUCUUGUACACACCG
rnacentral:rRNA from 1 species